AGGAUAAACGCUGGCGGCGUGCCUAACACAUGCAAGUCGAACGCGCUUUCGGGCUUCGGUGCGAGAGCGAGUGGCGGACGGGUGAGUAACACAUGGGUACCUACCUUGGAGUGAGGGAUACCGGCGAGAAAUCGCCGACAAUACCGCAUAAGCUUCUUCACAAGGGAAGCAAAGUGACGCGAGUCACGCUUUGAGAUGGGCCUGUGGCCGAUUAGCUAGUUGGGGGGGUAACGGCUUCCCAAGGCGACGAUCGGUAGCUGGUCUGAGAGGACGAUCAGCCACACUGGGAUUGAGAACGGCCCAGACUCCUACGGGGGGCAGCAGUGAGGAAUUUUCCGCAAUGGAGGCAACUCUGACGGAGCAACGCCGCGUGCAGGAGGAAGGUUUUCGGAUCGUAAACUGCUUUUCUCGGGGAAGAGGAACGGACGGGUACCCGAGGAACUCGAGCCCCGGCUAACUACGCGCCAGCAGCCGGC
rnacentral:rRNA from 1 species